GGCUGGGGCGGGGGGCGGCGGGCGAAGGCGCGCGCCCAUUUGAGGUCGAAUAGAGGACUCGACAAAGGCUUUGCCAGGGAAGGGGGGGACAGGGCGAUGUGUAACCUUGCACAGGAGAAGUGAGCGCGGGGGGAGCGCGAUGGCGAGGGGCAAGUGCGGCGGGCUAACAAAGGGCCAUCCAGCCGCGGGCGGGCGGGGGGCGCCCCCCGGCCCCGGGCCCCCUUACCUGGUGAGGUUUGCCAGCUCAGGCCUCCGAUAAACAUUUUGCUGGAAGAAGAAAACAGGACAGAGUUAAGCACAGAUGUCAGAUCGGCCAUUUUGACGGCCAAGGUGUGGGAUUUUAAAGGGACAUUUUCAAGAUAAAACUCCCGGGGCCAAUUCUUCUGCCAGGCUUAAGCAACUCCGAGGAAUAUAAUCACAACGGAGGAAAGAAUUUGGAUUUAUGUCUUUGAAAAGAUCUCGCUCGUGUUACCAGUAACAUCCUAGAGAAUUAAAAGUCACAUUAAUUUU